rnacentral:rRNA from 1 species
UACGAAGGGGGCUAGCGUUGUUCGGAAUCACUGGGCGUAAGCGCACGUAGGCGGACUUUUAAGUCAGGGGUGAAAUCCCGGGGCUCAACCCCGGAACUGCCUUUGAUACUGGAAGUCUUGAGUCGAGAGAGGUGAGUGGAACUCCGAGUGUAGAGGUGAAAUUCGUAGAUAUUCGGAAGAACACCAGUGGCGAAGGCGGCUCACUGGCUCGGUACUGACGCUGAGGUGACGAAGCGUGGGGAGCAAACAGGAUUCGAGAUACCCCGUAGUC